rnacentral:rRNA from 1 species
GUGGGGAAUAUUGGACAAUGGGGGCAACCCUGAUCCAGCAAUGCCACGUGUGCGAAGAAGGCCUUCGGGUUGUAAAGCACUUUAGUGGGGGAGGAAGGAUGACGUGUUAAUACCACGUUGUUUUGACAGUACCCCAAGAAUAAGCACCGGCAAACUCUGUGCCAGCAGCCGCGGUAAUACAGAGGGUGCAAGCGUUAAUCGGAAUUAUUGGGCGUAAAGGGCUUGUAGGUGGUUAUAUAAGUUAGAUGUGAAAACCCUGGGCUCAACCUGGGACGUGCAUUUAAUACUGUAUGACUAGAGUAUGGUAGAGGAAAGGGGAAUUCCUGGUGUAGCAGUGAAAUGCGUAGAGAUCAGGAGGAACAUCGGUGGCGAAGGCGCCUUUCUGGACUAAUACUGACACUGAGGAGCGAAGGCGUGGGGAGCAAACAGGAUUAGAUACCCUGGUAGUCCACGCGGUAAACGAUGAAUACUAGCCGAUGGGGGGUGAACCCUUAGUGGCGCAGCUAACGCGAUAAGUAUUCCGCCUGGGAAGUACGGCCGCAAGGU